CAGUGGGAGGACUUGGGGGAAUCUAGAAGUCUAGCAGUGGGAGGACUUGGGGGAAUCUAGAAUGGGUGGCAGUGGGAGGACUUGGGGGAAUCUAGAAUGGGUGGCAGUGGGAGGACUUGGGGGAAUCUAGAAUGGGUGGCAGUGGGAGGACUUGGGGGAAUCUAGAAUGGGUGGCUAUUGUCAUCUCUUUCUCACAUACUGAUUUGAUGUGUUAUGUUCCAAUCAAAGUGUCAAACACCUCUCUAUCCCUUUUUAUAUUAGUGGUUUGUGUCUCAUUCCAUGUUUUUAAUUUAUUUGUAGAUCAUUCAGUCUAACAACCAGGGCUGCAAAAGUCAGGUUAUUUUCCUGGUUGGAGUUCUGGGGGAAGUUGGGAAAGUUCCCGUCAUUCUGAAACCUUGCUAACUACAGUGUUCUGUCUAUAGAUGGACGGUCAGUCAGGUGUUUCUGACACACUGACUAACAACAAUCACCAUUAUAGCUUUACCGGGGUCUGUGUGCGACACAGCCACUGUUUGUAAGUACAAUAACUGUAAGGCGCAGUAUGUACGAGAACCCAAACAGUCCGAGACGUUGACUAUAGUUUUGCCUUCGGUCAUGUGAUCAUGGCUUAUAGAACAGAGGUCCACAGCUCAGGUUUUAAUUUGUCCCCUGGCACUAAGUUGAUUAAGUAAUAUCAUUGAUUGGAUAGAGUACACACACACACACCUGGUGGCCCAGGUCAAAAUUAGUCUGUUAUUUAAAGUUAGACUCUGUGAAAUGACGUUGCCACGAGCAACACCGCAGAUACUAAGAUGAGCGAGAUGCAACACUUCUCUCUCAUCGGAGGGAGGCUGUCGGAGGGCAAAGGCGUGGAUGGUCUCUGGAGCAGGUUCAGGGGCAGAUGGGCAGCACGGUGUCAUCGAGGUGGCGCCAAACUCCACCUAUCAGAGGGCACGGUGGAGCUGUUACCAUGUGGCUUGUCCCUAUCCAAUCCUUUCCUAUCUAGAGUCGGGAAUAGGGGUCAAGGUUUUUGGUUUAGGAUUCUGUUUCGUGCUCCCAAUUCUUCUGCUUCGUCCCAAUUCUCUUCCUUGCUCACAUACUGUGUCCACUUGGCUUGCACACUCCCUGUCGUAGAUUUAAAAGCAUGGGAUUGGUAUAAGCAUUGGCUGGAGGGAAGUUUCCAGCGUUGCUAAGUCCAUGCAACGAAAAAAAGUGUGCAAGUGCACACUUCAGGAGAGGGGGAAAAAAGGGUGGUAGUUCGGGACGUGACCUUCAAGCUCUCAUUGAUGUUUGACAAGGCCUGCGGGAUGCAUCCCAAAUGGAACCUUGUUCCUUCUAUAGUGCACUACUCUAGAGCCCUGGUCAGGAAUAGGGUGUCUGUUUAGGGAAGAGGAAGAGGACUAUGUAGGGAAUAGGGUGUCUGUUUAGGGAAGAGGAAGUGGUCUAUGUAGGGAAUAGGGUGUCUGUUUAGGGAAGAGGAAGUGGUCUAUGUAGGGAAUAGGGUGUCUGUUUAGGGAAGAGGAAGUGGUCUAUGUAGGGAAUAGGGUGUCUGUUUAGGGAAGAGGAAGUGGUCUAUGUAGGGAAUAGGGUGUCUGUUUAGGGAAGAGGAAGUGGUCUAUGUAGGGAAUAGGGUGUCUUUAGGGAAGAGGAAGUGGUCUAUGUAGGGAAAAGGGUGUAUGUUUAGGGAAGAGGAAGUGGUCUAUGUAGGGAAUAGGGUGUCUGUUUAGGGAAGAGGAAGUGGUCUAUGUAGGGAAUAGGGUGUCUGUUUAGGGAAGAGGAAGUGGUCUAUGUAGGGAAUAGGGUGUCUUUAGGGAAGAGGAAGUGGUCUAUGUAGGGAAUAGGGUGUCUGUUUAGGGAAGAGGAAGUGGUCUAUGUAGGGAAUAGGGUGUCUGUUUAGGGAAGAGGAAGUGGUCUAUGUAGGGAAUAGGGUGUCUGUUUAGGGAAGAGGAAGUGGUCUAUGUAGGGAAUAGGGUGGCCAGAGGACCAUUUUAUUAUUAUGAUGAUGACUUUACAAUGUUUGCUUUACUGUUUGUGCUCAGUUCUAAUCUUUUUGGUUUAGGUUGUUUCCUAAUGGCAGGUCAAGCAAUAAAACAAAUGCAUUCUUACAAA